CUAAUGAAAUGUCACGUUACCUAACCUGCUAUCCAGAUUUCCUAAAUCCUAACUGCAAUCUAUCUUGUGAAGACUGAUCUUACCAACUCCAGAAUACGAAAGCCGGCACGUAAUUUUAAAGCGAUAAAAUUAAGAGACUCUCCUGGAUUAUAUCAGAUUUCAGUGGACAGAAGUAGAGGACCAAAACAACUUCUUCAAGCAACUACCUUCUACCUGUAGUCAAUCUUGUGAAGACUCUACCCUAGGCCUAUUUUAUCAAAAUUUAGUACACAGAAAGAGAGGAUCAAACCAACUCAGACAAUUUUAACAGUCUCUCAACACCAGGUACCAGAUUCCGGUCAGAGAUUAAGCUGCGUUUCCAAUAUUUUCGUACUAAAGAUCAAC